GAUAAACGCUGGCGGCGUGUCUAAUACAUGCAAGUCGAACGGAAGGUUUGUAGCAAUACUAACCUUUAGUGGCGAAUGGGUGAGUAACGCGUUGGUGACCUGCCCCGAAGAGAGGGACAACAGUUCGAAAGGACUGCUAAUACCUCAUGUGGUUACAAGGAUUAGAUACCUUGUAUCUAAAGGAGCAAUCCGCUUCGGGAGGGACCUGCGUCCCAUCAGCUAGUUGGUAGGGUAACGGCCUACCAAGGCUACGACGGGUAGGGGGCCUGGGAGGGUGGCCCCCCACAUUGGCACUGAAACACGGGCCAAACACCUACGGGUGGCAGCAGUAGGGAAUAUUGCACAAUGGGCGAAAGCCUGAUGCAGCAACGCCGCGUGCGCGAUGAAGGCCUUCGGGUCGUAAAGCGCUUUUUGAGGAGAUGAGGAAGGACAGUAUCCUCAGAAUAAGAUUCGGCUAACUACGUGCCAGCCGCCGCCGUAAAAC
rnacentral:rRNA from 1 species